GGGGCAGCGCGGGAUAGCAAUAUCCUGGCGGCGACCGGCGGAAGGGUGCGUAACGCGUGAGCGACAUGCCCGUUGCCCGGGGACAACCGGUGGAAACGCCGACUAAUCCCCGAUGGGAUACGAUGCUUCAUGGCAUUGUAUUGAAAGUUACGGCGGCGACGGAUUGGCUCGCGUCCGAUUAGCUUGUUGGCGGGGUAACGGCCCACCAAGGCUACGAUCGGUAGGGGUUCUGAGAGGAAGGCCCCCCACAAUGGGACUGAGACACGGCCCAUACUCCUACGGGAGGCAGCAGUGAGGAAUAUUGGUCAAUGGGCGGAAGCCUGAACCAGCCAUGCCGCGUGCGGGAAGGAGGCCCUAUGGGCUGUGAACCGCUUUUGCCUGGGGGCAAUAAGGGCGUCGCGCACGUCCGAUGAGAGUACCAGGCGAAUAAGCAUCGGCUAACUCCGUGCCAGCAGCCGCGGUAAUACGGGGGAUCACCCCGUUAUCCGGAUUCAUUGGGUUUAAAGUGUGCGUAGGCUGUGCGUCAAGUCGGGGGUGAAAUUCCGGUGCUCAACACCGGGGCUGCCCUUGAUACUGUCGCGCUGGAGUGCGGAUGCCGCCGGAGGAAUGAAUGGUGUAGCGGUGAAAUGCUUAGGUAUCACUCAGAACACCGAUUGCGAAGGCAUCUGGCGAAUCCGUAACUGACGCUGAGGCACGAAAGCGUGGGGAUAGAACAGGAUUAGAUACCCUGGUAUUCCACGCCGUAAACGAUGAUGGCUAACCGCCGGCGACACACUGUCGGUGGCCAAGCGAAAGCGAUAAGCCAUCCACCUGGGGAGUACGUCGGCAACGAUGAAACUCAAAGGAAUUGACGGGGGCCCGCACAAGCGGAGGAACAUGUGGUUUAAUUCGAUGAUACGCGAGGAACCUUACCCGGGCUCGAACGGCACCUGGAUCGCCCAGAGAUGGGCGAGUCUUCGGACAGGUGUCGAGGUGCUGCAUGGUUGUCGUCAGCUCGUGCCGUGAGGUGUCGGCUCAAGUGCCAUAACGAGCGCAACCCUUGCCGCCAGUUGCCAUCAGGUGAUGCUGGGCACUCUG
rnacentral:rRNA from 1 species